rnacentral:rRNA from 1 species
UACGUAGGGUGCAAGCGUUAUCCGGAAUUAUUGGGCGUAAAGGGCUCGUAGGCGGUUUGUCGCGUCGGGAGUGAAAUCCACUGGCUUAACUGGUGGCUUGCUUUCGAUACGGGCAGACUGGAGGUAUGCAGGGGGAGAACGGAAUUCCUGGUGUAGCGGUGAAAUGCGCAGAUAUCAGGAGGAACACCGGUGGCGAAGGCGGUUCUCUGGGCAUGUCCUGACGUGAGGAGCGAAAGUGUGGGGAGCGAACAGG